rnacentral:lncRNA from 1 species
AGUAAACACAGAACACAUCCUCUCCAUCUCCAGGGCCCUUUUCCUCUCGCUCUGAAUGCUCAGGUUUGUGUCAUCAUUAGUUCAGCUUUUGUGGGCCUGAUACGUGGGGAAGAAGGUGGCCAGAGGCUGGAAGGUGACAGACGCUGCCUGCAGCCCGCAGAGCUCGGGUGGUGUGUACACAGCAUGGGUUCGGGCCCAGCAAAGGCAGAUGUCACUCAUGAACUCCAAGAACGCUGUCUUCCUCUGCAGACCCAUGGAAUAGCUAGCUGGGACUGAGCUCUCCAGGUCUGAUUCGGAGGUGAAGCUGUUGGCCAGUCAUGGAGACUGUCUCCUCACAAAUCAUCUGGGAGGUGCAGGCGGGAGAAGCAAGGCCCAGGGAAGCUGACUCAUCCAAGACUUGGGAGGUAAGUGCGUCUGUGAACCGACAGCUGGCUUUGGGAGGGUU